rnacentral:rRNA from 1 species
AUUGAACGCUGGCGGCAGGCCUAACACAUGCAAGUCGAGCGGAUGAAGGGAGCUUGCUCCUGGAUUCAGCGGCGGACGGGUGAGUAAUGCCUAGGAAUCUGCCUGGUAGUGGGGGAUAACGUCCGGAAACGGGCGCUAAUACCGCAUACGUCCUGAGGGAGAAAGUGGGGGAUCUUCGGACCUCACGCUAUCAGAUGAGCCUAGGUCGGAUUAGCUAGUUGGUGGGGUAAAGGCCUACCAAGGCGACGAUCCGUAACUGGUCUGAGAGGAUGAUCAGUCACACGGGAACAGAGACACGGUCCAGACUCCUACAGGAGGCAGCAGUGGGGAAUAUUGGGCGAAGGGCGAAAGCCGGAUCCAGCCAUGCCGCGUGUGUGAAGAAGGUCUUCGGAUUGUAAAGCACUUUAAGUUGGGAGGAAGGACAGUAAGUUAAUACCUUGCUGUUUUGACGUUACCAACAGAAUAAGCACCGGCUAACUUCGUG